rnacentral:pre_miRNA from 1 species
UCAGUUGGACGUUGGUCUAGUUCUGUGUGGAAGACUAGUGAUUUUGUUGUUUUUAGAUUACUAAAGUGACAACAAAUCGCAGUCUACCAUAUGGCACAGUCCAUGCCUCUACAGGACAA